ACGGAAGGCAGCAGUGGGGAAUAUUGGACAAUGGGGGAAACCCUGAUCCAGCGACGCCGCGUGAGUGAAGAAGUAUUUCGGUAUGUAAAGCUCUAUCAGCAGGGAAGAAAAUGACGGUACCUGACUAAGAAGCCCCGGCUAACUACGUGCCAGCAGCCGCGGUAAUACGUAGGGGGCAAGCGUUAUCCGGAUUUACUGGGUGUAAAGGGAGCGUAGACGGCAAGGCAAGUCUGAUGUGAAAGGCAGGGGCUCAACUCCUGGACUGCAUUGGAAACUGUCUGGCUGGAGUACCGGAGGGGUAAGCGGAAUUCCUAGUGUAGCGGUGAAAUGCGUAGAUAUUAGGAGGAACACCAGUGGCGAAGGCGGCUUACUGGACGGUAACUGACGUUGAGGCUCGAAAGCGUGGGGAGCAAACAGGAUUAGAUACCCUGGUA
rnacentral:rRNA from 1 species